rnacentral:rRNA from 1 species
GUUAGGAAUAUUGGACAAUGGGCGCAAGCCUGAUCCAGCCAUGCCGCGUGAGUGAUGAAGGCCUUCGGGUUGUAAAGCUCUUUAGCCGAUGAUUAUAAUGACUGUAGUCGGAAAAUAAGCCCCGGCUAACUUCGUGCCAGCAGCCGCGGUAAUACGAAGGGGGCGAGCGUUAUUCGGAAUCACUGGGCGUAAAGCGUGCGUAGGCGGCUUUGCAAGUUGGGAGUGAAAGCCCAGGGCUCAACCCUGGAAUUGCUCUCAAAACUGCAAGGCUCGAAUUCGGGAGAGGAUAGCGGAAUUGUCAGUGUAGCAGUGAAAUGCGUAGAUAUUGACAGGAACACCAGUGGCGCAAGCGGCUAUCUGGACCGAUAUUGACGCUGAGGCACGAAAGCGUGGGGAGCGAACAGGAUUAGAUACCCUUGUAGUCC